GGCGGUAGCGGCGAUGGCUCCUCCGGGCUGCCCGGGUUCGUGCCCCAACUUCGCCGUAGUCUGCUCCUUCUUGGAACGCUACGGGCCGCUGCUGGACCUGCCCGAGUUGCCGUUCCCAGAGCUGGAGCGGGUGCUGCAGGCGCCGCCGCCAGACAUCGGCCACGGAGAAGUACCAAAAGAAUUGGUGGAGCUGCAUUUGAAGUUAAUGAGGAAGAUUGGCAAAUCCGUUACAGCAGACAGAUGGGAAAAAUACUUGAUCAAGAAUUCUUUUCAGGUUUGCAUAUAUAUAAUGGAGGCAUGACACAGCGAGUAUGUGAUUGGCACAUCCCUUGUCUUUUAUUUGCCCCAAACCUCCAUUUACAGAAGAAGAACCUGCAAGUCCAAGUCGAAC
rnacentral:lncRNA from 1 species